UUACUAUUGGAUGAUGACUGUCACGUGUUACGUUCUGAUUAGAUGUAAACUCUAUGAAAUAUGAAAUAUAUUGUUAUUUUCAUUGACCAAUAUGAAGAAGAAAUCAUGUGACGGG
rfam:Glycine max cultivar Williams 82 chromosome 16, whole genome shotgun sequence.